CAAAAUUCAGUAAGAUAUCUAUGGUGUGUGAAAUUUCCAAAUGAUUUGGAUUGCUCCAAUCUUGAGUUUUUAUGCUUACGGACAAAGAUGAAAGAAUUUGAUGGGAUUUUCAAAAGAAUGGGAAUGCUCAAAGUUUUGAUUCUUGUCCACGAUGAGUAUAGAAGAACACCAUUGUUAACAAUAUCUUUCGAAACAUUAACAAAUCUUCGUUGUCUAUUGAUUGUGAAUUAUGAAUUGAGCGACUUCUCAUUUUUAGGCGGUAUGAAGAAUCUUCACAGUCUCUCGUUAUAUAAUUGUUUACUGCCUUCAUUUCCUGAAUUACAAACCGUUGUUGCGAUUACACUAAAAUUGUUAGCGUUAAAUGGAUGUAACAUUAAAGUGAAGAAUUUUGAAGUGAUUAAAAGAAUCCCGCUUUUGGAAGAGUUGUACAUUAUUGAUAUUAAAGGAGAAUGGGAUGCUAACAGUGAAGACAAUAUUGAAUUUUUUAAGACGUUUAGCAUUCCCGAAACACUGCAAAGGUAUGGAAUUGUAUUAGGGUCUCGUUACUUUGAUCAUUUUAAUUAUGGAGAUAUUUACAUUCAUGGAAGAACUUUGUUACUUAACCAUUUUGACAUAUCAAAUGAGGUAAUAAAGGGUUUGGCAAAAAGAGCAAAGGAUCUAUUUGUGGCAACUAUUCAUGGAGGUGCAAAAAAUAUCAUCCCUGAUAUAUUUCAAAUUGAAGGAGGAGGUUUGGAUGAGUUGAAUAAGUUGGAGAUACAUUCUGAAGAGUUAGAAUGUUUGAUUGACACACGUAGUCACUCGAGUGAGGUGGUAACUCUCUUCUCCAAGUUGCAUACGCUUCGAAUUAAGAACAUGAGAAAUCUAAGAGUUAUAUGGCAUUGUUUUCUUCCUGCCAAUGGGCCUUUUGAGAACUUAGAGAAGUUUGAUUUAAGUGAUUGUCCAGGACUGACAUCUCUCUUCACGUAUGCUGUUGCUCGAAGUUUGGUAAAAUUGAAAAUAUUAAAAAUAUCAAGAUGUGAUGAACUGAAGUAUAUAUUAGCAGAUGAUGACAAAACGGAGGAAGGUGAAGAUGUACAAAUUUUCCAAAAUCUGCAGGAUGUAAAGAUAAAUAGGUGUCGAGAAUUAAAACAUAUAUUCCCAGCCAACAUUGUUGGAGGCUUAACUCAAUUGAAAGUUGUUGAGAUAGAAAAAUGUGAGAAGCUAGAUCAAAUAAUUGGAGAUAUUGUUCCAUCAACAGACCGUGAUAAAGUAAUAGAGGAAGGAACUCUAUCCAGCCCUGGAGGCCUUAAGAUAAAACGUUGUGGGAAGUUAGGCUCAAUUUUUACAGCAUCUAUAGCUAAGAACUUGACUUCUUUGGAAAAAUUGUACAUACGAGGGUGCAAAAGUUUGAAGUAUAUAGUAACUCACGAAAGGGUCAACAAAAAUCAGGAGGAAAGCAUUGUUGAGGAUGAACAUGAUUGUCAGAGUGAUAUUUCAAUCUUCCAAAGUUUGAAGAAGAUACAUAUCAGUGAAUGUGAGUUAUUGGAGGGUAUAUUCCCUGUUUCUUUUGUUGGAGAAUUGAAUGAUAUAACAAAUAAAGAGGCUGCUGAUUUGGAAGACUUCUCUAGUCGAAAUAAUACUCAAAUUGAGCUUCCCGCUUUACAAGUACUUGAACUUCAUCGUAUUCGGAACAAAACCGUUGUUGGUAGUUAUGAUGUGAUAUGUCCAUCUUUAAGAAAACUAUCAUUGGAUAUUGGGAGAUAUGUUGGGUUUUUCAACAUAAAUUGUUCAAGCGAUGCUUCAGAAGCUACAAAAAGGGAUUGUAUUGCAAUCAAGAUAUCGAACUCAGAUUUUGAUCCGCCGGUUGAAAGUGUUGAAUGUCUUUCAAAACAACCACAUGGUUUGAACUUGAUUGUGACACACAAUAUUAGAGAGAUUGAACUGACAGGCUUUGAUAAGGCAAAGUACCUUUUUAAACUGUCCAUUGCUUCAUCAUUGACGAUGUUGGAAAUUUUGAGAAUUAACGAAUGUGGUGGACUUGAGUACAUUAUAGACACUGAUGAUGAAUAUGGCAAAGAGAAUAAGAAAGCUAUCUUUCCUAACUUAAAAAAGCUCUAUGUGUAUGAAUGUUGCCAAUUGAAAUAUAUGGUUGGGCAAUAUGACGUAGCUAAUAAGGAUUAUAAGGAUAUUCACAUUCAAUUCUCAGCAUUGGAAAAACUAUUUCUUCGGAAUCUACCAAAGUUUGUUAGCAUUUGUUCUACCAACAAUCUCACUGUGACGUGGCCAUCUUUGAAGGACUUUGAGUGUUACGGAUGUUUAUGUCCAUUUUAUGGUUCAAGAGAGCCUAUUAUCACAAGUACGAAGGAUCCGAAAGGGAUUCAGAACCUUCUCCCCACUUUGCAAACUCUAAGCAUAACGGAUUCUGAUGCAAAACGUAUUUUUUGUCUUAAUGAACAUGAAAUGAUUGGCCAACAAGUGAGUUUAAGGUUAGAGAAAUUGGACUUGAAUAUAUUACCUCAGAUGACUUAUAUUUGGGUGGGUCCCAACAAUUCACUUACUCUCCAACAUCUUACCACAUUAAAAAUAUGGGAUUGUGGAAAGUUGGAAGUAAUCUUUCUAAAGUCUGUUGUAAGAUUCUUACCAGAGUUGAAGCUUUUGGCGAUUAAAGAUUGCAAAGAAUUAAGAGAAAUAAUUGAAGGGGAUAGAAAUUUGUCUAACCUUGUUUCUCCUCAACCAUUCUUCCCAAAACUAGAAGCAUUGCUUGUUAAUCAUUGUCACAAGUUGAAAAGAUUAUUCUCUGGAUCUGCUUCUAAUGACCUUCUCAAUCUUCAUUUUCUGUUCAUAAAUGGAGCCAAUGAACUAGAAGAGCUUGUUGGAUGUAAACAAGGAAAGAUUAAAGUUGAGCUUCCAAGACUCAAACUUUUAAUAUUUAUGCGUCUGGAAAACUUCAGUCAAGAAUUGCAUAAUGUAAAGAAUUGCAUUGUCUACAAAUGUCCAAAACUCUCUUUGACUUCAACAACUACAUUUCAGAAGCUCACUGAAGAUUUUCCUGAAGAUUUCGAAGACACUGAACUUGAUGGUUGGACAUUUGAUGCAGAUGACAUCCCUUCAGACAUAUCUGAUGACUGUUCACAGGAGAGUGGGGAUGUAGGAAAUGAGAGCAUUAAAGAGGGCCCUUUAGUUGAAGACAUUGGCAUUGAAGGUGGUGUUGCAACUCACGUUGAGUCUGGUGGUGAGGACAAACUUGUGCUAGAUUCCAAGGUAGUUGAACAAGAUGAUAAAUUGAAUGAAGUUGGAUUUGAGAGUUCAUGGGUAGAGGAAAUGCGUCAACGUGUUG
rnacentral:sRNA from 1 species